rnacentral:rRNA from 1 species
GAACGGGCAUAGCAAUAUGUCAGUGGCAAACGGGUGAGUAAUACAGAGGAAUCUACCUAGCAGUAAGGAAUAACCCUGGGAAACCAGAGCUAAUGCCAUAUAUUACCCUUCGGGGGAAAGAUUUAUCGCUGUUAGAUGAGCCUCUGCCGGAUUAGCUAGUUGGUAGGGUAAAGGCCUACCAAGGCGACGAUCUAUAGCUGGUCUGAGAGGACGAUCAGCCACACUGGGACUGAGACACGGCCCAGACUCC